ACGUAGGGGGCGAGCGUUGUCCGAAUUCACUGGGCGUAAAGCGCGCGUAGGCGGAUUUUUAAGUUGGGGGUGAAAUGCCGAGGCUCAACCUCGGAACUGCCUUCAAAACUGGGAGUCUUGAGGUAUGGAGAGGGAAGUGGAAUUCCAGGUGUAGCGGUGAAAUGCGUAGAUAUCUGGAGGAACACCCGUGGCGAAGGCGGCUUCCUGGCCAUAUCCUGACGCUGAGGUGCGAAAGCUAGGGGAGCGAACGG
rnacentral:rRNA from 1 species